UCAUGGCAAAACCACCGAAAGGCGGCGGCGCAAAGCUACAGGGUCUAAACGCCGAAAGGCGCAUGACAGCCAGUUACCA
rnacentral:ncRNA from 1 species